rnacentral:tRNA from 1 species
GCCCCCAUAACUCAGUGGAUUAAAGCGUGGCCCUCCCAUGGUCAAGGUCGCAGAUUCGAGUCCUGCUGGGGGGCG